rnacentral:misc_RNA from 1 species
AGGCUUAGUUGAGUUGAGUAUCAAGAUUUGUGCAACCAAAGAGAAUAUGACACAACACCAAACGCAAGAAGGCAGCGUCUGAGUUUGGACCUUCCACUCUGAAAAAUCCCUCUUAGAUCUUAGAUUACGGAUGUUUGUCAGCUUUGAUUGUUCAUCAUCUUCUUUCUUUACAAGACAAGACAGUGAUGACAAUCCUAGCUUGAUAUGGAUGUUCCUCAACAGUCCAACAAAUUCUGUGCCUCAGAUUUGUGAAACCAUUUUAGUUUCUUAGGUCAACUCAAGUUUUUACCAAAUUCUCACAAAUGACUAUAAGCAAAAGGAAUCUAUCAUUUUUUUCAAAGAACCUCGUCCGAAAGCAACAUGCUGGG